rnacentral:lncRNA from 1 species
GAUACUACAAGCGUCAGAAAACAAACCAUAUGCAUAACCUCGAACCGUCCCAACUGUGUAUCGUAGCGUCGCAUAGCGCUGCCUUCUGUCGCUUUCUGUAGCUGAAAAACAAAGCAGUUUCUUUCUGCAGAGUCAAGCAUGGCUAUUGAUUCAGAAUCCGUGCAACAAAAGACUGUUUUAUGGAAUAUGCGGAACAUAGGAAAUGUCGGACUCUCUUAUACAACAAUCGUCGUCUUUAUGGAAAUUUUCGUCUACAGAAGUCAUGCCAGAUAUUAAUCCAGAACUUAGAGAUAGUUUAGUAAUAACACAUUACAAACAAUCCGCUAAUAAAGAAUAUACGAAUCAGUUUGACGAUAUAAUAGAAGAAAGUAAAACUGAGGAAAAAACUGUGAAAUUUAAAAUCCCAUAACUACAUUUAGACUUCUCCAUUAUCUUCAUGAAUUUAGAACACAAAUUUGUUUUAAUAUACUGUACAUUCUGCAAAAAUUUUCUGUAAAUUUGUAUAUUAAAUAAUAAAUAAACUAUAUUUAGU